rnacentral:rRNA from 1 species
AUUGAACGCUGGCGGCAGGCCUAACACAUGCAAGUCGAGCGUGAAAGUUCCUUCGGGAGCGAGUAGAGCGGCGGACGGGUGAGUAACGCGUAGGAAUCUGCCCAGUAGUGGGGGACAACAUGGGGAAACUCAUGCUAAUACCGCAUACGCCCUAAGGGGGAAAGCAGGGGAUCUUCGGACCUUGCGCUAUUGGAUGAGCCUGCGUCGGAUUAGCUAGUUGGUGGGGUAAUGGCCUACCAAGGCGACGAUCCGUAGCUGGUCUGAGAGGAUGAUCAGCCACACUGGGACUGAGACACGGCCCAGACUCCUACGGGAGGCAGCAGUGGGGAAUAUUGGACAAUGGGGGAAACCCUGAUCCAGCCAUGCCGCGUGUGUGAAGAAGGCCUUCGGGUUGUAAAGCACUUUCAAUAGGGAGGAAAAGUUAAUGGCUAAUACCCAUUAACCCUGACGUUACCUAUAGAAGAAGCACCGGCAAACUCCGUGCCAGCAGCCGCGGUAAUACGGAGGGUGCGAGCGUUAAUCGGAAUUACUGGGCGUAAAGCGCGCGUAGGCGGUUUGAUUAGCUGGAUGUGAAAGCCCCGGGCUUAACCUGGGAAUUGCAUCCAGAACUGUCAGGCUAGAGUACAGUAGAGGUGAGUGGAAUUUCCUGUGUAGCGGUGAAAUGCGUAGAUAUAGGAAGGAACAUCAGUGGCGAAGGCGGCUCACUGGACUGA